rnacentral:rRNA from 1 species
UUCGGGGUACUCGAGUGGCGAACGGGUGAGUAACACGUGGGUGAUCUGCCCUGCACUUUGGGAUAAGCCUGGGAAACUGGGUCUAAUACCGAAUAUGACCACGCGCUUCAUGGUGUGUGGUGGAAAGCUUUUGCGGUGUGGGAUGGGCCCGCGGCCUAUCAGCUUGUUGGUGGGGUAAUGGCCUACCAAGGCGACGACGGGUAGCCGGCCUGAGAGGGUGACCGGCCACACUGGGACUGAGAUACGGCCCAGACUCCUACGGGAGGCAGCAGUGGGGAAUAUUGCACAAUGGGCGCAAGCCUGAUGCAGCGACGCCGCGUGAGGGAUGACGGCCUUCGGGUUGUAAACCUCUUUCAAUAGGGACGAAGCGCAAGUGACGGUACCUAUAGAAGAAGGACCGGCCAACUACGUGCCAGCAGCCGCGGUAAUACGUAGGGUCCGAGCGUUGUCCGGAAUUACUGGGCGUAAAGAGCUCGUAGGUGGUUUGUCGCGUUGUUCGUGAAAACUCACAGCUUAACUGUGGGCGUGCGGGCGAUACGGGCAGACUAGAGUACUGCAGGGGAGACUGGAAUUCCUGGUGUAGCGGUGGAAUGCGCAGAUAUCAGGAGGAACACCGGUGGCGAAGGCGGGUCUCUGGGCAGUAACUGACGCUGAGGAGCGAAAGCGUGGGGAGCGAACAGGAUUAGAUACCCUGGUAGUCCACGCCGUAAACGGUGGGUACUAGGUGUGGGUUUCCUUCCUUGGGAUCCGUGCCGUAGCUAACGCAUUAAGUACCCCGCCUGGGGAGUACGGCCGCAAGGCUAAAACUCAAAGGAAUUGACGGGGGCCCGCACAAGCGGCGGAGCAUGUGGAUUAAUUCGAUGCAACGCGAAGAACCUUACCUGGGUUUGACAUGCACAGGACGACUGCAGAGAUGUGGUUUC